GGGCCUGUGGUCCAGUCUGGUUAUGACACCGCUCUCACACGGCGGGAAUCCCCGGUUCAAAUCCGGGCAGGCCCACCA
rnacentral:tRNA from 1 species